UAGAGGAAGUAAAAGUCGUAACAAGGUUUCCGUAGGUGAACCUGCGGAAGGAUCAUUAUUGAAAUAAACCUGAUGGGUUGUUGCUGGUUCUCUAGGGAGCAUGUGCACGCUUGUCAUCUUUAUAUCUCCACCUGUGCACUUUUUGUAGACCUGGAUAAUCUUUCUGAAUGCACUUGCAUUUCAGGUUUGAGGAAUUGACUUCAUGUCUCUCCUUACAUUUCCAGGCCUAUGUUUCUUCAUAUACCCCUAUGUAUGUUUCAGAAUGUAACAGGAUGGGCCUUUUGUGCCUAUAAAUAUAUACAACUUUCAGCAACGGAUCUCUUGGCUCUCGCAUCGAUGAAGAACGCAGCGAAAUGCGAUAAGUAAUGUGAAUUGCAGAAUUCAGUGAAUCAUCGAAUCUUUGAACGCACCUUGCGCUCCUUGGUAUUCCGAGGAGCAUGCCUGUUUGAGUGUCAUUAAUAUAUCAACCUCUUCGGCUUAUGCUUGUUGAGUGUUGGAUGGUGGGGGUUUUGCUGGUGUCUUAUGAAGUCAGCUCCCCUGAAAUGCAUUAGCGGAACAAUUUGUUGACCGUUCAUUGGUGUGAUAAAAUAUCUACGCUAUUGACGUCAGUCAGUUCAGCUUCUAACAGUCCAUUGACUUGGACAAAUUUUCAUUAAUGUGACCUCAAAUCAGGUAGGACU
rnacentral:rRNA from 1 species